rnacentral:rRNA from 1 species
GAUGAACGCUGGCGGCGUGCCUAAUACAUGCAAGUCGAGCGAAGCGGGGAAGGGUGAGUAACACGUGGAUAACCUCCUAUAAGACGGGGAUAACUUCGGGAAACCGGAGCUAAACCGGAUACUUACAGAUGGAACCGCUGUGGAUUAGCAAGUUGGUAAGGUAACGGCGUACCUAGGCAACGAUGCAUAGCCGACCAGAGAGGGGGAUCGGCAACACUGGAACUGAGAAACGGUCCAGACUCCUACGGGAGGCAGCAGUAGGCAAACUUCCGCAAUGGUCGAAAGCCUGAUGAACCAACGCCGCGUGAGUGAUGAAGGUCUUCGGAUCGUAAAGCACUGUUAUUAGGGAAGCGGUACCUAAUCAGAAAGCCACGUCUAACUCCGUGCCAGCAGCCGCGGUAAUAC